rnacentral:lncRNA from 1 species
GCCCAUUGCCUCCUCCUCCGCAGCUGUCACCACCACCACCACCGCCACCGCCACCUCCACCCCCUCCUCCACCUCCACCUUCUCCGUCGCCUUCAAAACCUCCUCUUUCAUCAUCAACACCCUCGGAAUCCCCACGAUCGCCAUCACCUCCUAAACCACGAUGGCCAUCACCUCCUAAACCACGAUGGCCAUCACCUCCUAAACCACGAUCCCCAUCACCUCCUAAACCAAAAUCACCAUCACGUCGAGCACCAAAAUCACCACCACCUCCAGCACGCGUACCGCCACCUCCACCACGUUCUGCAAGCAAGUCGCCACGUUCUGCAAGUAGUCCGCCGCCGCCACCUAAGCAUACGUUGCGCAACGGCUCCUCAAACGAGAGCACGACGGGGAAGCAAUCACCGUCAUCAACGACGAAAAAUAGUCAGGAGAUG